rnacentral:rRNA from 1 species
GUCCACGCCCUAAACGAUGUCAACUAGUUGUUGGUAGAGUAAAUCUAUGAGUAACGCAGCUAACGCGUGAAGUUGACCGCCUGGGGAGUGCGAUCGCAAGAUUAAAACUCAAAUGAAUUGACGGGGCCGCACAAGCGGUGGAUUAUGUGGAUUAAUUCGAUGCAACGACGAAAACCUUAACCUGGCCUUGACAUGUACCGAAUUUAGCAGAGAUGCUUUAGUGCUCGAAAGAGAGCGGUAACACAGGUGCUGCAUGGCUGUCGU